AAAACUCUGAUAUUCAAUUUUUAUAGAAUACUACUUAUUUAUAUUUUUCUUACAUUCAAUUAUGUGCAUAGAGUGGGGUGCUCAUUUUCGCCACAUCUUUCCAUGUUUUCUACAGUUUAUGUUCAGGUCUAAAUGUUUUUGAAGUAUACUGAUAUUCUAUAUGAAGAUAACUACAUGCAAAAUAUACUUAAGCUUGAAAACUGGUUUGUUUUAAGAGAAAUCAUCUGAAAAGUUAGAUUAAAGGGUGUUUGAAAUUUCCAGAUAUUUUUGUCAUAUGGGAACACAUAUUCGCCGUUUUUACACAUCUAUUUAAAACCAAAUAACCGCAGCUUUUAACAAUUUUGAUCAAAUCAAUUGCAUGAUAGAUGAAUAGCAGACAUUUCAAAGGUGUAAAGAAUUCAAAAUUAGGGCAUUCAGUCAAAUAUUUACUUAGAAAUACUUCUUUGAAAUCGUGUUUUUUAUUCAGGAAAUUUUCCGAAAAUCGUUGUCCGUUUUUCGGUCAUUUUCGGUAGGAGCCGCAAUUUUGUCUCAGUUUAAAAAAAUAUUAUAUUUGUUAUAAAAUAUAUAAUUUACGGGUACAUUUCUUCCAUUUCAGCCAUCCUUUGAUAUUUACACCUCAAAAUCCUUAAACGGCGAAAUUGUGUCCCCGGCAAAAUAGCACCACCACUCUAGUAUUUGUAAACAUACUCUUUAUAUGAUACCUUAUUGGUAGAUUUUAAACUCUAAAUUUACUGUUGAUAUUUAGCCAUCUGAGAUUGAGGCAAAUACUUGUAGCAGUUUUGCAUAUCAAUAUUGAGUUUUACUCUUAAAUAUUUAUUCUUGAUUAUAAGUUUAUAUUUGUAAUUGUUUAAUUUUUUCGUUUUUUGCAGCAACUGCUUAAUUGCGCAAAUGAAACAAUGCAAAACCUUUAUGAAGCAUUUUUUUGUUUGAUAUGAGAAACACAAAAUGAAUAUUGUACAGUUUUGAAAUCUUUUAUUCUGAUGAUGCAGAGAUGUAUA
rnacentral:lncRNA from 1 species